rnacentral:tRNA from 2 species
GUUUUGGUGACCGAGUAGAAGGUGAGAGAUUUUUAAUCUUUUUACAGGGUUAGCCCUCCAAGAUA